CCUUAUUCAACAAACAGCAGCAAAAACACCGACGAUAUAUGCACAAUUCCAAAUCACACAAACAGCAACAUUGACGAACAACAACCGCGAAACCCAACCCGUCGACGACCCCCAGUCCAGCAACCAGUGAACCCGACUACCAUGACCCAAUACCCAUUAACCACUACAACCCGACCCGCAUACAACGUCAACAGCUUCAACAGCUGUGAUUCAGCAACGACAUAGACCCAUUUUAAAAAUUUAAAAUUGUAUGAUUUCGUACAUCUAUAGCUCACCC
rnacentral:lncRNA from 1 species